GACAGUUUAGGAGAGUCGUUUGGCUGCUAACCAAAAGGCCGGCAGUUCGAAUCCCCCAGCUGCCU
rnacentral:tRNA from 1 species